GUUUGAUGUCAAGAAUUAAGAAACAAGGGCUUUGAAGUUGUGAUCGUUCUGGAGAAGAAAUACAUCGAGUGAUGCAUGUUGGCCCCCAGCAAGGAGAGUACUGAACUACUCAAGAAAUAUCUGAGAAUAUCUCAGAGCUGAGAUAUCUGAGUCACAGCGAGGAUAGAAGAUGAAGAUGG
ensembl:lncRNA